rnacentral:rRNA from 1 species
GACGAACGCUGGCGGCGUGCUUAACACAUGCAAGUCGAACGGAGUGGCGAACGGGUGAGUAACACGUGGGGACCUGCCCUGCACUUCGGGAUAAGCCUGGGAAACUGGGUCUACUACCGCAUACUAGUAGAUGGACCUGCGUUGUAUUAGCUGGUAGGUAGGGUAAUGGCCUACCUAGGCAACGAUACAGAGCCAACCUGAGCGGGGGACCGGCCACAUUGGGACUGAGAGACGGCCCAGAUGCCUACGGGAGGCAGCAUUGGGGAAUAUUGGACAAUGGGCGAAAGCCUGAUCCAGCCAUGCCGCGUGUGUGAAGAAGGUCUUCGGAUUGUAAAGCACUUUAAGUUGGGAGGCGUUACCAACAGAAUAAGCACCGGCUAACUUCGUGCCAGCAGCCGCGGUAAUAC